UGGUGUCAGAAUGAGACGUCACCUCAACUAGUGAUGUCCCGAAUUAUUCGCCGGCGAACAGUUCACGACGAACAUAGCUUGUUCGCGUUCGCCGCGGCGGGCGAACAUAUGCGAUGUUCGGUCCGCCCCCUAUUCAUCAUCAUUGUGUAAACUUUGACCCUGUAUC